rnacentral:tRNA from 1 species
UGGGUUGUGGCUCAGUGGUGGAGCGCUCACCUAGCAUGUGUGAGGGCCUGGGGUCGAUCCUCAGCACCACAU